UGACAGGUGGUGCAUGGUUGUCGUCAGCUCGUGUCGUGAGAUGUUGGGUUAAGUCCCGCAACGAGCGCAACCCUCGACCUUAGUUGCCAGCAUUCAGUUGGGCACUCUAAGGUGACUGCCGGCUAAAAGUCGGAGGAAGUGGGGAUGACGUCAAAUCAUCAUGCCCCUUAUGACCUGGGCUACACACGUGCUACAAUGGGCGGUACAAAGGGUCGCGAACCCGCGAGGGGGAGCCAAUCCCAAAAAGCCGCUCUCAGUUCGGAUUGCAGGCUGCAACUCGCCUGCAUGAAGCCGGAAUCGCUAGUAAUCGCGGAUCAGCAUGCCGCGGUGAAUACGUUCCCGGGUCUU
rnacentral:rRNA from 1 species